rnacentral:rRNA from 1 species
UAAUACGUAGGGGGCAAGCGUUGUCCGGAUUUAUUGGGCGUAAAGGGCACGCAGGCGGUCUUUCAAGUUCUGAGUGACAGGUGGUGGCUCAACUGCCACAGGGCUUGGAAAACUGAAAGACUUGAGGACUUCAGAGGGAUGCGGAAUUCCAGGUGGAGCGGUGAAAUGCGUAGAGAUCUGGAAGAACACCAAAGGCGAAGGCAGCAUCCUGGGAAGUAUCUGACGCUCAUGUGCGAAAGCUAGGGGAGCGAACGGGAUUAGAUACCCCGGUAGUCCUAGCCGUAAACGAUGACCACUAGACGUAGGGGGUAUCGACCCCCUCUGUGUCAAAGCUAACGCAUGAAGUGGUCCGCCUGGGGAGUACGGUCGCAAGAUUA